rnacentral:lncRNA from 1 species
AACAAAACAUUUUGGUGCCACUUGUCAUUAGCUUAAACCAUUACUUGCCACCUGGCAAUGUGAUAUUCCUCACAUAUUGAUUUUGAGCGGCAAUUUGUUUUGUCAAUAAUAAGCGGCUUCUCAAACACUCUUUUCAUCCGUAUCAUUCAAAAACCCUAAUUAUCUUAUAGUGAAUCUCUGGCGAUUUCAAACAUCUUUAUCAUCUUCAACCGUUGCUUUGGCACAUCACGCCUAAAGGUUUUUCUAUGUUCACCUCUUUUUCUUUCAUCCGCCUCCGUAUGCUGAAACCCUAAUACUCAUACGCUGCAUCUAUGGCCACCACACUCUGGUUCUUUGUGCUUGCGACCACCCCCUCUGUCUUCUUCAUCUCGCGUGAUGGGCUUUUGAUUUGAGAAGUCAUGGGGACGUUGGUGGGGUUCGGAGCUUUGACGCUCCAGCAGG